CUCGGAGUUUGAUCCUGGCUCAGGAUGAACGCUGGCGGAAUGCUUUACACAUGCAAGUCGAACGGUAGAGGGGGCAACCCCUCGAGAGUGGCGAACGGGUGAGUAAUAUAUCGGAACGUGCCCAGUCGUGGGGGAUAACGUAGCGAAAGUUACGCUAAUACCGCAUACGAUCUAAGGAUGAAAGCGGGGGAUUGCAAGACCUCGCGCGACUGGAGCGGCCGAUAUCAGAUUAGGUAGUUGGUAGGGUAAAGGCCUACCAAGCCAACGAUCUGUAGCUGGUCUGAGAGGACGACCAGCCACACUGGAACUGAGACACGGUCCAGACUCCUACGGGAGCAGCAGUGGGGAAUUUGGACAAUGGGCGAAAGCCUGAUCCAGCCAUUCCCGCGUGCAGGAUGAAGGCCCUC
rnacentral:rRNA from 1 species